rnacentral:rRNA from 1 species
ACUCCUACGGGAGGCAGCAGUGGGGAAUAUUGCACAAUGGGCGCAAGCCUGAUGCAGCCAUGCCGCGUGUAUGAAGAAGGCCUUCGGGUUGUAAAGUACUUUCAGCAGUGAGGAAGGUGGUAUGUUAAUAGUACAUAUUUCAUUUGACGUUUAGCUGCAGAAGAAGACACCGCGUAACUCCGUGCCAGCAGCCGCGGUAAUACGGAGGGUGCGAGCGUUAAUCGGAAUUACUGGGCGUAAAGCGCAUGCAGGUGGUUUGUUAAGUCAGAUGUGAAAGCCCGGGGCUCAACCUCGGAAUUGCAUUUGAACUUGGACAAACUAGAGUACUGUAGAGGGGGUAGAA